rnacentral:rRNA from 1 species
UACGGGGGGGGGCAAGCGUUGUCCGGAAUCAUUGGGCGUAAAGCGCGUGUAGGCGGUCCGGUAAGUCCGCUGUGAAAGUCGGGGGGCUCAACCCUCGAAUGCCGGUGGAUACUGUCGGGCUAGAGUGCGGAAGAGGCGAGUGGAAUUCCUGGUGUAGCGGUGAAAUGCGCAGAUAUCAGGAGGAACACCAAUUGCGAAGGCAGCUCGCUGGGACGUUACUGACGCUGAGACGCGAAAGCGUGGGGAGCAAACAGG